rnacentral:rRNA from 1 species
GAUGAACGCUGGCGGCGUGCCUAAUACAUGCAAGUCGAGCGAACAGACGAGGAGCUUGCUCCUCUGACGUUAGCGGCGGACGGGUGAGUAACACGUGGAUAACCUACCUAUAAGACUGGGAUAACUUCGGGAAACCGGAGCUAAUACCGGAUAAUAUAUUGAACCGCAUGGUUCAAUAGUGAAAGACGGUUUUGCUGUCACUUAUAGAUGGAUCCGCGCCGCAUUAGCUAGUUGGUAAGGUAACGGCUUACCAAGGCGACGAUGCGUAGCCGACCUGAGAGGGUGGUCGGCCACACUAGAACUGAAACACGGUCCAGACUCCUACGGGAGGCAGCAGUAGGGAAUCUUCCGCAAUGGGCGAAAGCCUGACGGGGCAACGCCGCGUGAGUGAUGAGGGUCUUCGGAUCGUAAAACUCUGUUAUUAGGGAAGAACAAAUGUGUAAGUAACUAUGCACGUCUUGACGGUACCUAAUCAGAAAGCCACGGCUAACUACGUG